rnacentral:misc_RNA from 1 species
ACGGAGCACCUUUCUGUACAAGAGCGAAAGUGCUUCGGGCGGAAAUACACCGCUGUGAGCGCUUAAAGACCGCGCGCACCUCGCUCACGUGCGUUCGACGCCGGCAUCACCCCUUCUACACACUCCGAAUAGAACGGCAUCGAACUGACGCAAGACAAGCGAGGUUACAGUUUCAAGAAAUUAAACUAAAACCAAAACGAACAAAAAAGGAGUGGUACACUGCACGUACGUCCUGACAGUUGGCGUGCGUAUUCUCGCGUGCACACGGCCACUCUCAGAGACGCGUUCGCCCCGUCCAUACUCGCCCGCUGCAAACCCAGAGAGCUGACAGGGAACGACCCGUCACUAAAACGUGGAUUGUAGCUGCUGACGCUUUCCGAUGGACGUGCUGGGAGCGUUUAGUCGGUGGCCGCGCCCGUUGCAGUCGAGGUGGCUACUGCUGCUGUUGCUGCUGUAUCGCGUGACUCUCUGUAUGACGUUGCAGACGGCGGAGUCGCCCGAUGAAUGGUGGCAGAGUGAGGAGGUCGCAUACAAAAUGGUGUUUGGCCGUGGGCAGCUCACGUGGGAGUGGGACGAGGCCAUUCGGUCCUAUGUCUUUCCGGCAAUUUUCGCAGCUCCGCUGCUCGUGCUCAAGUGCACAGGGACGGACACCGCGUUGACAGUGUGGGCCUCCAGUCGGUGUGUGCAGGCUUUCAUCUUCUUUGCGCAUGACUGCACCAUGCUCGCCCUCGCACAGCGCCUCGACGACCUUCGGCGCUGCCUGAACUCGAGGAGGUCAGGCCGCCACGCGUUCUCCGCCCCUCUCUUCUCCACCGUCAGUGAAUCCACCGGUGCGAAAUGCCGCACACCGACCAUUGCGUCAACAACGCUGGCCAUGGUGGUGGUGGAGUGGUUCCUCAUCAACACAGGAGUGCGCAGCUACUCCAACGUGCCGGAGUCUCUCUUCUUCCUGCUGUCUCUCUACCAGACAAGCUACCCGUUGUUUCUGCUUUGGGCCGGUGUGGCGUGCGCAAUGCGCGUAACGGCGGCGUUUGCGGCGCUGCCGGUUUUUAUCGUGCACGCAUGGCGCUUAUGUGGCGAGAUGGGCGUCGCGCGUUGUCUUCUUAUUGCUUUCACCACAGUCAGCAUGGUGGUCGGCAUCAGUGCCGGGGUCUGCUUCGUCGACUAUAUUUUUUACCAUCGUCUCGUCUUCACCCCGUAUAACUUUCUGAAGUUUAACUAUUUGCUGGGUGUGAGCAAAUACUAUGGGGUUCAUGCGCCGUAUUGGUACUUCGUCACGCUGCCGGCCAUGGCCGCCCCAUUCGUCUUUUUUCUUGUGUGGAUGCCUGUGUGCUGGUGCUGGAUGCAGGAGGCGGAGAAGCACCACAUGAGCGGCUCGGCACCGCAUGCGCAGAGCACGCUAUUUUCCGGCUCUUCUUCGCGGACACUGCGGCAAGAAAUAAAGCGGUGGGCUUUUGUAGGUGCGCCGACACUGAUGAUUUACAGCAGUCUUGAGCAUAAGGAGAUGCGGUUCGUCUACUUUCUGCUCCCGCUGCUCCUCCUGAUAUCCAGUGUGGUCGUCGUCUUCCUCUGCACCAGUUCUCUGUCGGCGCUGAAGCAAUCGAGUAGAGUGCGACGACGGUCUUGGUGCCUUGCCGUGCCGUCUGCUGACAUGGUGCGGCGCCUCUUCACGCUCUCCUGGGCUGCGAGUGCGGUCUUCACGAUUACGCUCCUGUACGGCUACCGCCGCGGCGCCCCGACGCUGUUCCGCGAAAUUCGUGGCGCCGACCGACACUUUGGUCACCUGGAAACGCUCGCGCACUGCUACAGGACGCCUGGAUUUGCGCAGCUGCACGGCAAGGUAGAUCGACUAGAGUGGGUAGACUGCCGGAUGAGGUUAGAUGCCGUCUCGGGGGUACCAGUGGUGACGCAGGACCGCCUAUUUACGGAGCAGCCGAAAGCCUACGCGUUGUGGCGCUACCUACGCGUCGCUUCGAGGCUUGACGUCGAGGACGGGGGUAAGGAGAGUGUUGGCAAGCUGUCGAAGGAUGCGUGGUGGCGAGAGAUGCUCCGCGUAAUGCCGAAAGGCGAAGCCCCUGCUUUGCCAGACGCCAUCAUCCUCUUCCAGAAUACGGCCAUCUUGCUCGAGGCGGAUCUUUUGCGACCAAUGGGCUACCGCCGACUUGUGGUCGUGUUUCACACACUGCACAGCUUCGAAGAGCACGAGGACCGCUAUCUCGAGUUGUGGUCCCGGGAAACAGCGCAGAAAAGCGAAUCGUGAGAUGGUGCGCAGAGGCGCUUCGGCGUUGGCAAGCGAGCAGCCCUUCUGAUAUCGUCUUUAUCAUUAUUACUUUGCUAUGUUUUUUUUUUUUUUGUAAGGCCGCUCAUACGGUUCGUUUACUGCUGAUCCCUUCCGCCUAUGGUAAUCGUUUCUGUAACGCCUCUCGCUCUUUCCUUUCUUCUCUUUUCUUGCUGUAUUUUUUUUUUCCGGUUAGGGUACAUUUUUGCUUUAUCGGACGAGAGAGACAACAACCGCAAAAAAAAAAACACUAAAACUCAGCAUCACCAGCGAAGCGAAAACAAAAAUAAAAAGGGGCGGCUGUUGAGGAUGGAAAAGACAGCAGACGGAGUGCGAGAAGCAACUCGCGUUAGAGACUGUUGUGAGUAAUUUUUUUGCUGUCACGAGUGGGUAAGACGGAAUACGCUGCUUAGGCGGCGCGCUGCUGUACAGCAGGAGCGCGCUGAGCCUUUUCUGUGCAUCGCCACUACCUUCUUAAUGACCCGACCUUACCCCACCUCCUCGAAAGUUCUGGAGUGCGUGCAGAUCUUUCCGGUGUGGUGUGCACACAUGCGCGUCUGUCUUGUUUCUGCGCUGUGUGAGUCCCGCUUCCCAUGACGCAUACCUCUGCUGCGGCCGGCUGCUCCCCUCCCUCCGCCCUCUUUGCAG